rnacentral:ncRNA from 1 species
CGUCGGCUCGUCUGCAUGCCUUUGGAUUCCCUUCAAAGGGAGCCUUUGAGCAAAGGGCACGUUUACUUUGAAAAACAUUUGGGUGCUCAAACCAGGCCGAUGUUGACUGAAACGUUUUGCAUGGAAUAAUGGAAUAGGACUUAGGUUCUACUUCGUUUGUUUUUGGAUCCGAAGUAAAGAUUAAAAGAGGCAGGCGGGGACGUUUGUAUGGUUGUGAUAGAGGUGAAAUUCAUGGACCGUAACCAGACAAACUAAAGCGAAAGCAUUCGUCAAGCCUGUUUUCAUUGGCCACGAGCGAGGGUCAGAGGCUCGAAGACUAUCAGAAACAGUCCUUGUUCUGACCAUAAACGAUGCCAACUGAUGAUCCAUGGUGGUAGUGUUUUAACCAUCCCUACGGGCAGUCCCCGGGAAACCUUUAACUCUUUGGGUUCCUGGGGAAGUAUGGUUGCAAAGCUGAAACUUAAAGUAAUUGACGGAAGCGCACCACCUGGACUGGAGCCUGCGGCUUAAUUUGACUCAACACGGGAAAUUUCACCCGGCCCGGACAGUGUGAGGAUUGACAGAUUAAUAGCUCUUUCUUGAUUUGGUGGUUGGUGGUGCGUGA